ACUAGGAAAAUCUGUUGUGAGAUAAGUGACAUAGAUUUGAAUCUCCUUAAGCUGGCAGGGCUUGAAGGCAGUGUUUCCAUUUCAUGCCUGGAUGAACACUCUAAACCUCUAUGAUGCAAAAAGACAACCACCAACUCUACCCCUCUGGUCAUGGAAUCAUCUGUGGUGUACUGGAUGCCACAGAUCCCAGGUUUUGCUCUCCUUGUCAAGGCACUAGUGACAAUCCUUCAGACAACACAGGGAACCUAUAUGCUUGGGAACCUAUAUGCUUCUGUACAGACCAGGUACAGAAAUAA
rnacentral:lncRNA from 1 species